rnacentral:rRNA from 1 species
CGAAUGAGGAGAUUCAUCGUCAGCUUAUUCAGUAUUAAUGCAGGCUAUGAUGUGAUAAUAGAAUCCUUGUGGUCACUAGAUUAUACUUGCUUGUAUUAUUUUUGCUGGGUAUGUCGGCGUGCACUUCUCCUCUAGUAGAACGUCGCAACCCGUUGGAUGUUUAUCUAUGGCUUGAAUGGUAGCCUUUGAUAUUUUUUAUAUUAAAGACCUUCGAUGUCCUGAUAAACUGUUUGACGGUAUACAUAUGGUAUUGAGCCGCAAUUAUUUGCGUUAGACUUGCCGCAAGUAUGACUUUAUUCUAGUAGUGCGGAUCUAA